rnacentral:lncRNA from 1 species
UUGUUCACGACAAGGUUUAUGUUAGUGUUUGCACGGUGUUAAGGAUGGCAGUUCGAUGUUGAACUAAGUUUGUUGGCGUGUUUGCAAUAGGCUUUUCUUAAGGUAGCUUCGGUUUUGUUGAACGGUGAUGAGGGUUUGGAAUAUGUGGUUGGCGGAGGAGAUUAGAGGGUGAACGUUGUGUGGAGAUCGCUUCGAUGAUGGAUUGAGAAAAAGAAUGAUGAUAUUGUGGUGGUUUUCGUGGUUAACAAAGGGAGUAUUAAUGGUAGAUUUGGAUUUUGUUUCUCGCUAAAAAAAUGAGGAAGACGGUGGGGUUUGGCUGGAAUUGAGGGGGCAAGGAUGUGAGUUUACAGGUGGGACGGAGAAGAAGAGGAAGUUCCUCAAACUUUUCCAUUUGUUUCUUUUGUUUUCCAGGUUAGAGGGAGUAUUUUUAGAAAAGGUUUUAAGAAUCCUCCCUUUUUAGGGAGAAGAGAUACGUCUUUUUGAGAGAGGCUAGUGGUCCUUUUUUGUUUUCAAUUUUUGGUCCCCUCAAUGUCCAUUUGAGUGAGAGAGAGGAUGUGAAGUGACGUCUCUAUGGAUUCCCCCAAAAUGUCAAUUAACCUUUUCCUCUAGGCACGUUUUUUUUCCACCAAAUAGAGUGAGGAAGACACAUGUGGCUUUUUAAUUGGAGAGGAGGGGGAUAUUUUCAUCAACGGCCAAUAAGGGAGAGAUGUGUGUCAUUCCUCUAAUGGGGAAUUCUUUUCCAUCUUUUUUUAGCUAAUUCUUCUAUUUUUUUAUUGGUCAAGAGAGGUGUACAAGGAUAACCAUUGUGAGCCUUUGAUCAAUUUGGAUUGGAUGGCCAUGAUAGAAGCAAAGAAAC